rnacentral:lncRNA from 1 species
CGUGCAGAGGGGCCCGUGGAGAGAGAGGGAGGCCGUGAGGACGGCGUGCAGAGGGGCCCGUGGAGGGAGAGGGAGGCUGUGAGGACGGUGUGCAGAGGGGCCCGUGGAGGGAGAGGGAGGCCGUGAGGACGGUGUGUAGAGGGGCCCGUGGAGGGAGAGGGAGGCUGUGAGGAUGGCGUGUAGAGGGAGGCUGGGAGGACAGUGUGUAGAGGGGUCCGUGGAGGGAGAGGGAGGCCGUCAGGAUGGCGAGCAGAGGGGUCUGUGGAAGGAGAGGGAGACCAUGAGGAUGGUGUGCAGAGGGAGGCUGUGAGGACGGUGUGCAGAGGGAGGCUGUGAGGACGGUGUGCAGAGGGAGGCUGUGAGGACGGUGUGCAGAGGGAGACCAUGAGGAUGGUGUGCAGAGGGAGGCUGUGAGGACGGUGUGCAGAGGGAGACUGUGAGGACGGUGUGCAGAGGGGCCCGUGGAGGGAGGAGGACACUGGACACAGGGAGGGGCCCCCGUCAAUCAUGGCACCUCCCCCACAGAGUGCAGCUGGGUGGCAUGGCCGCUGCUGCUGGAGAUGGGGCCGUGCACCUGGCCUCACAGAGAGCCCCAUUUACCAUGCGCCUUGGCUCCUGACACCCACAGUUGGAGAGGCAGGUCCCUCUGUCUCCACU